AUGACUGGGAAAACUCAAACCAGCAAUAUAACUAACAAGACAGAUCCUCGCUCUCUGAAUUCAAGAGUGUUCAUUGGUAACCUCAACACUGCUGUGGUCAAGAAAACUGACAUUGAGCUCAUUUUUGCCAAGUAUGGCAAGAUUACGGGCUGCUCUGUGCACAAGGGCUUUGCUUUCGUCCAGUAUGCCUGCGAGAGGAACGCUCGAUUGGCUGUGGCUGGUGAGAACACCAGGGUGCUGGCUGGACAGACCUUAGACAUGAACAUGGCUGGAGAACCACGUCCUUACAGGACAAAAGUGGCAUCCAAGCAACCUUUCUCCUUAUACAGUGGCUAUGAAUUUCAUAAUGAUUUCUACAGGGAUGAUUUCUAUACCAGGAUUUUUGACAUUCAUGGGAGAUUAGCACCAUCCCCUCGGGCUAUGAUACCUAACAAGCAUUCCCGUUUGCUUGCACUCUCAACACGCAGGACAAAAAACUCUUUCCAGCCAAAGAUGUCCACCUGCUCUUCUUAUCUGAAAACGCUGUCGCCAGGUUCCUUAUGCUCUAUGGUGAAAUCCGAUCAGCUCUUGACAAUCAAGCAAGAACUGUCCCAGAUAAAGCUUAAGAUCGACUCCUUACUGGGAAGGCUAGAGAAGAUUGAACAGAAGCAGUUAGCAGAAGCAGAAGUCCACAGGAAGCACGAGAAGGCCUAUCAAUCUCUCUAUAGUGAGACAGAAGAGGAUGCGGGGUCUUGGGAAGUGACUGAUGAAGGUGAUGCUGGAAAUAAUGACAGGGCUAAUGGUGAACUGAUAGAAAACCACAUAUCUGAUGUAGACAACUGAGCAAGACUUUUGUGAGAUGUACUGAUGUCACUACUGGAGAUCUGAGACUCUCUGCUCUCCAUGACUGGGACCAGCACACCUGUCAAGUUGACUGUUUUUGGAAGAUAUCCAGUUGGAAUUGUUCACCCUUUCAUGUCAAGUUAUUUAUUUAUUUGUUUGUUUGUAGUUUUUUAUUCAUUCAACUGGUCAUACCUUUACAUACGUGAGUAUUUAUAGUCAGACAAAACAAAAGGAUGAAACCAUAACUUAAUAUGUAAAAUAAGUAAUGUAUUUUAUCUAGAAAAUGCGAUAAACUUCAGUGUCACGGUCAGUAA